rnacentral:tRNA from 1 species
GGAGGGCUGGCCGAGUGGUAAGGCACCGGAUUGCUAAUCCGUGGUCCAGCGAUGUCUGGCGCGCGUUCGAUCCGCGCGCCCUCCG